AGUGAACGCUGGCGGUAGGCCUAACACAUGCAAGUCGAACGGCAGCACAGUAAGAGCUUGCUCUUACGGGUGGCGAGUGGCGGACGGGUGAGGAAUACAUCGGAAUCUACUUUUUCGUGGGGGAUAACGUAGGGAAACUUACGCUAAUACCGCAUACGACCUACGGGUGAAAGCAGGGGAUCUUCGGACCUUGCGCGAUUGAAUGAGCCGAUGUCGGAUUAGCUAGUUGGCGGGGUAAAGGCCCACCAAGGCGACGAUCCGUAGCUGGUCUGAGAGGAUGAUCAACCACACUGGAACUGAGACACGGUCCAGACUCCUACGGGAGGAAGCAGUGGGGAAUAUUGGACAAUGGGCGCAAGCCUGAUCCAGCCAUACCGCGUGGGUGAAGAAGGCCGUCGGGUUGUAAAGCCCUUUUGUUGGGAAAGAGAAGCAGCAGGUUAAUACCCCGCUGUGCUGACGGUACCCAAAGAAUAAGCACCGGCUAACUUCGUG
rnacentral:rRNA from 1 species